UUUUUUUUUUUUUUUUUUUUUUCCUCCCCCUUUGGUGAACUCGCAGUACUUGGGCUGAGCCCGAAAUCUCGCGAGAUGCUGCAGGCGUCAGUGCGGCUUCCCACUAGGCGCGUGGUACCCGAGGCCGGGCCGGAGCCGCAGGCCAGCCGCGAUUCCUUCGGGCGAUGCUGGGGGCUUUCCGGUCGGGGCCGCAGCCGCUUCCGGAGCCGCGGGCGAGGUGCGUUCCCCAGCCUGGUUUGCUCUGGGCUCUGACCCGCCGCCGCGAAUCUCCGCUCGUAACUCCGGGCCUGAACCUGGAGGAGGGAGGAUUUCCUCUGUGCAGCUUUCGAGCGGUAGACUCACCCUGCCAGGCAGACCUAGAUUGGCAUAACCAGAGAUCAGUUCCAGUUGUGAUGCAGUGGGUGUCUACACACUUCUGAUGACACCUUUAUUUUAAAAGCUGAUGUUCCAAGGUGCAAGCGGUCUUCUCUGUCUUCUUUAUGGCCAGUAAAAUUCUCCAGAAGAGAUUUAUGGCAGCCUCACUCCCAGUAGUUUCUGCAUUUAGUGAGAUAAGUACCCUGGGAUGUCACUCAAGUCUCUUUUUAAACCUAUAUCCACUUCACCUCAUUUGGCUC
rnacentral:lncRNA from 1 species